GGUGUUGUAAGAACGGCUGCACAACACUUUCCGGUCCUCAUUGUCACUGUUCAUAAAUGUGCACGUUACGAUCAUCCAUCCACAAAACGAUCGUAGCUGUCUUCGUCACAACACACCAGGUUUUUCGUCGCCACUGCCGUUGUAAGGAGGCGCCGUGAAGUUUGGUCUGGUGUUCACCCUGUGUGUGCUGGUGGCGCUGGCGUGCCUAUAAGACGCCCAGCUGCCCACAGGCGAGCAGCUACAAUCGGGUGUGGAAGCACGACAUGGAGCCGCCGAGCGCAUCGAGGCAGACGGGCAGCAACUGCCUGCCACGAUGCGUUACUUUCGCCGCCUCAUCCCGACGCAGCAGCAUAGCACCU